GGACGUCUUGGUUCAUUUGUUUCUAUUCUUGGUUCACUUUUAUCUUAUACUUAAUGAUGACAAAUCUGCUCGUGAGAUAUUGCUGUUGAAAAAUUUCACGUGUCUUCCGUUAUCAUUAUAUAUCGUGUGUGUUCUUGUUGUUUUAUUCGAUGAAGGCGAAAUUCUCUUUGAUACUCCUCCUCGUUCACGUUUUAUGCGUAUUUUUGCAUAUGAACAAUAUUUCAUGCAUUGUUUAUCCACGUAGCAAAGGUCCUCCGGAAAAAUAUUGCGGCCCCAAUUUGUCUGGCAUUCUGGAUACCUUAUGCGUGGAAUACUCUUUGCCGGCUGAAUAUAAAAGAUCAAAUUCUAUUGGAAACAAUUAUCUUUCGACUAAACAUGGUAAUCCUUUUUUGAACCCGAGAUACGCGUUAUCUUCCUUUUUUCGACGAGCUAGAAGCGAUUCGUUCACAGUUUCAGCUCACGACGAAUGUUGCGAAAAGGGAUGUACCAUCGCUGAAUUAUUGCAGUAUUGUAAAGUGACUAAUUAUUCCGUCGAAUAGGUCCAGAUACUUUAUUUAAUGCUACUCUAAUAUCAUUCGUAGUACCUUUGUAGCAUGCUUAAUUUUUUUCAAAAGUCACCAUCUUAUAUUACACCUUAAGUCACGUCGGCCGGUAUUAAUAUAAUACAUAGGUACUUAUUGAUUGAUUAAUGUGUAGGCAAAAGUAGGCACUUGUAAAACGAUGAACGAUCAUCUCGAUUAUUUACUUGAUAAAAAAUGCUACCAGGGUACCAAAAAUACAGGGUACCUAAAAAAGUAUCCUUUAAAAAUCUAUACUGCGUUUGAAUCAUGCAUCGUGUCAGCUUGUAUUGUAAAAUCAAAAUUUUUAUUGAAUUUUCACUCGGGCAUUAAUUUACUUUAAGUAAAUAGGGUGCUGGUAUAAAGCUUCUUACGUCUAGUACAUUUUUUAAUAAGUACCUAUAUGUAGAAGGUUUAUGUUGCUCAAAUUCUAUUUAAUUACUUCAACUCAUACGCCUAUACCUGUAAAAUGAAUAGGUGGGCUAUGUUACAAUGUACAAUUAUUUUUAGCAAAAUAUUUUAAGUUAGGUAUUUACAUACAGGCAUACGAAGAACACUCUGCGAGUAAUUUUCUAGCACACUCGAAGAAUUUGUUUAUUUUUUUCAUAUUUAAAAAAAAAUCCAAUUAAGGAACAAUACAUGAUGUGAUCUUUCGUUCAAAAUCAGUGAACUGAUUGACUUUGAACUAAAUAAACGUGCGCCACCCGCAAUCUCUAGUGCGUUCAAAGUACCUAGUCGUUUCGAUUGACACCGUUGUUAACCGUUGAAACAAAAUUAAAAAUAAGAAAGUCACAUUCCGGUUCAAAUUCUUUUUGAAAAAAAAACGUCAAAAAUUUCCUACAGUUUGAUUUUUUAUCCGAAAUUUUACGAGAUGUUCCAUUUUUUGAGGUGUCUGUGAACGGGAGGUCUUUUGUAAGGUAUUCUUGAAUUGAUACCCACGUAUUACAUACAAUGUAUGACAAGGCGUUCGAAAAAGAUAUCGACUAAUUAACUGAAACAAGCUGAUUAGUGAUUACCAUCUAUCUACUAAUUAGUUUCAGACCUUUCAGACAAUUGAAAAAUGUAGGCUCAAAAACUAAAAAUAGGUAUAACAAAAGUUCAGAAUUUGGGACACCUAUCCACGAAGUGCAUCGAUUCAAAAUUCAAAAUAACCUAGGUACUAUCAUCAUUGACCAAAAAAAUGACAUUAACUAUGGAAAAGCAAACAUUGUCAAUCCCCCUUUUUAUUUUGGAAUAUAAUGCCAGUUAUGAUAAAAUCACACAGAUCUAGGAACUCUAAAAGUCUCAAGUGGAAUUCAAGUGGGUGAUUUUGAUAGAAUUUCUCAGAUUGAUUUCGAGAAAAAUGACGAAAAAAUUAAUUUUUUAUCCUAAAAAAAGAGGAUUAAAACAAAAUAGGCGAUUUUUUUCAAGAAGUAUAAUCUUCAAGAUAUUUUAUUUAUUUCAAGUUUUAAAGUUCCAUUUUGGUAUUCGGUUGUAAAUACCUAUCUAUAUGUAUUAUGAAAGCUAAACUUCACAAGAAAGAAAUCAAAGAACUUGACUGAUGAAAUUUUUAUGGUCUACAAUAAAUUUCAGUUUUAUUCACAUUUUUUGUCGUAGAAACUUUUAAUCACCUGAGAAAUACAUUUUUUGGAUUGUACAUUUCUUAGAUCAUGAAAUCGAUUUUCUGCCAAAACUCCAUUUUUUGAAGUUUGAACAAAAUUGUAGUCCAUAAAAUUUUACAAUAUUAAAGUUCAAUAAUUUGUUUCGUAGGAAAGCUUACAAUUAAUUUGUGAAGUACUUUAUUCUUGCUCGUAUAAAGCUGAACAUUUGUCUUUUGCAACCAUAUAUCUAGAAAACUAAGCUUUUUUCUAAGAAAAAAAUUAAUAGAACUUUAUUAUUAGAAAUUUUUAUGGCUUACUUAUAAUUUCGUUUUUAUUCUUUUUUUUCUUAGAAUCCUUUGUUUCUUCCCAAAAAUUGAUGAAUAUUGAUAUAAAAAAUUGAUUUUUUAGGCGAACAAAAGAUUUUAUGAAAAAUCAAAUGUAAAAAGAAUAUAAAUAAUCAUAAAAUCAUCUACCAGUCAAGUUCAAUAUUUUCUUUUUGGAAGCCUAGUUUUUGAGGUUUAGCCAAGAAAAAUAACUUUUACCUUGAAAUAUGAAAAAUUAGUGUGAAUAAUUUCAACUAAAAAAUUAGUUUUUGCAACAAAAACUUUUUUGAUGAAGAAUAAUUGGAAUAAUAUUGUAUUAAGAAUUGAAAAUGUUUAAAAAGUGGGGGCCAAGAGCGUAGAAAAUUCAUGGGCCACAUAUUUAGGUACAAAAUGGUCCUGGAAUAUCACUGAACUAUAGAACAAAAAAUAGUCUGAGCCUUAUAAAAUGCCAUAAAGUCUGUAAUUUUUCGCCUGAAGAUCUUUCAAGUAAGUAAUUCUAAAAGAUGUAAACACAAAUAGGAAUGAUUUGACAAAAUUAACUGCACCGAUAAAAAAAUACCUGGGUAGGUACUUAUUCAAGUUUUCAUUUUUUAAAAAAAAUCAUUCUUUCAUGUAUCUUUUUCAAUUAAGUCACAUAUUUUUCGAUGCAUUGGAAACAUUUUGAAAAUUUUAAUUUAACAUUAUGUUUAUAUUUUAAUUAAAGAAAUGCGUAUUCCAUUCAUAAUUGCGAGUUAAUUAUACUGGCAAUUUUACCAGCAUCGCGAUAUCGCACAUUUGUAUUUGUCUUAAGGCUUCGAUUCAUUUCUCAUUUAGUGAUUCUCUUACGUAACGUAUACCUACAUAUGUUUAAUUAGAAUGUAAUAGGUACAAAUUCAUUAAAUUAUUUUGAUUGCUUUUAUCGA